AAACUUUCGUAAAGUGUAGUUCAGUGUACAAGUGAGUUUGUGAUUCUUGUUUUGCAAUGUGAAGUUUUUUUGAGGUUUACACAUCAUUAGCAGUUAAGCAGACAAAAAAGAAAGAACCUGGAUUUUUCACAGGAGAUAUUUUAGAGAUUAAAAUGACCGUGCGCUCAACGACAUGGAGCAAGCAUUCGUCGAAGAUGGCAUGAGACAUCGUC